rnacentral:lncRNA from 10 species
CACGUUUUCCUUGUACCUGUUAAACGAGACUGCCAGGUAUCACAUGUUUAAAUAUCAGACUAUUUCUAGAACCAUCGGAUUUCCUGGCUCCAUUCCACUUUUAUGCUUCUUCUUGGAGGCAGCUUCACCUCCACUCACAUUCCGGAGAUAAGCAUGAACUUUGGUAAUACGAUGAAGACAUGCUUCUUUCUUCUUCCAUGCCCAGAUUUUUUCUUAAUCCAAAAUAAGUUUUAAAGUGAUUGGGGGAGGUGAGGGGGAAUACUAAUGAUUUAAAUUUUUACCAAAACCCAUUUACAUUUGGAUGGUUUCACUUUCCACAAAGAAAAGCAACAACCCUGACUCUCCCAAAAAAACAAAACAAAACAAAAUAACAAAAAUAAAGCCAAACAUUAACUACCUCCCCAGCUCCACUGAAAACAAAACCAAAAACAAAACAAAUCAAAGCCUUAAGGAUUUAUCAACCUGGAGAGAGUGCAGCCCUUCUAGACUGAGCUGCAAAGAUGGCCCUGCCUCCAUGCCUUGUUGAACAUGAUGAUGCCCCUGGGAAUGGGAGGUGAUGGUUUUUUACUUCGGCCCUAGUACAGAGUAUGCUCUUGAAGCUGGAUUCCAUCAGCAGGUUUUGGAAAUCACUAGUGGGUAAAAAAGACCAAUUUGCAACUAGGCUCUCAUGCUCUGUUGAAAACUAUGUCACAAUAUCACAAUACUAGAUGCUGGGCUCAAGACAGCAAACAGAAAGCAGCAAGGGCAGUGACUGGAAGCUGGGAGAGAGGGUCAACAGCUGAAUCUCAGCCUGAUGGAGGCCAC